rnacentral:rRNA from 1 species
CCUGACUGCUAUCGGAUUGAUACUAAGCCAUGCGAGUCAUUGCAGUAAUGCAAGGCAGAUGGCUCAGUAACGCGUAGUCAACCUACCCUAUGGACGGGAAUAACCUCGGGAAACUGAGUAUAAUGCCCGAUAGAACACUAUACCUGGAAUGGUUUGUGUUCCAAAUGAAUGUCGCCGUAGGAUGGGACUGCGGCCUAUCAGUUUGUUGGUGAGGUAAUGGCCCACCAAGACUAUUACAGGUACGGGCUCUGAGAGGAGUAGCCCGGAGAUGGGUACUGAGACACGGACCCAGGCCCUAUGGGGCGCAGCAGGCGAGAAAACUUUGCAAUGUGCGAAAGCACGACAAGGUUAAUCCGAGUGGUUUGUGCUAAACGAACCUUUUGACAGUCCUAGAAACACUGUUGAAUAAGGGGUGGGCAAGUUCUGGUGUCAGCCGCCGCGGUAAAACCAGCACCUCAAGUGGUCAGGAUGAUUAUUGGGCCUAAAGCAUCCGUAGCCGGCUCUGUAAGUUUUCGGUUAAAUCUGUACGCUCAACGUACAGGCUGCCGGGAAUACUGCAGAGCUAGGGAGUGGGAGAGGUAGACGGUACUCGGUAGGAAGGGGUAAAAUCCUUUGAUCUAUUGAUGACCACCUGUGGCGAAGGCGGUCUACCAGAACACGUCCGACGGUGAGGGAUGAAAGCUGGGGGAGCAAACCGGAUUAGAUACCCGGGUAGUCCCAGCUGUAACUAUGCAA